GACGAACCGUGCAACCGUUAUUCGGAAUCACUGGGCAUAAAGGGCGCGUAGGCGGCUUCACAAGUCAGGGGUGAAAUCCGGCAGCUUAACUGUCGCAGUGCCUUUGAUACUGUGAAGCUCGAGGGAGGUAGGGGUCUGUGGAACUUCCGGUGGAGCGGUGAAAUGCGUUGAUAUCGGAAGGAACGCCGGUGGCGAAGGCGGCAUUCUGGACCGAUAUUGACGCUGAGGAGCGAAAGCCAGGGGAGCAAACGGG
rnacentral:rRNA from 1 species